GUUGUUGUCUUUUUGCCGCAAAGCUUAGGAAUAGCCGACUGGCGAGGCCGCCCGUAUGCGGUAGUAGGGGCCAGCACUCAGGCGGGACCAGGCGUGGAUGGGUUUGCUCUGCUGGGUGGCAGGCGGCGGCCACGCGGGUGCGGCGAGAGGGGACAGGUUGGGGCUGUUAAGAGAGGGUGCCAUUUGUUUGUGCGCGUCAUGUAUUUGAUGGCGCGCGUGGACGGAGGGGAGCCGGACGAGUGGACGGUGUAGUCUUGGUCAGGAGGGGGAGCGCCGCGCGCACUGUCCGCUCCGUCUGGCUUCUACCGUUGCCGUCGGAGGCGGAGGCGGAGGGGGCGGCGAGACGCGCGGUUUUGGGGUCGGGGCCCGCGCGUGGGGUCGGGCUUCAGGUCGGAGCGUAAGGGCACCGGAAGGGGGCCGCGGAGGCGCAGGCGGAGGCGCCGACGGAGGCCGUCCGAGGUGCGGUCGGAGGUGGAGCCGCCCCAGGCGCCGCAGCCGUGGCGGUUGCCGUGGCCGGAGGUGCACGACGUGGGGCUGCAGUUCGGCGACCGGCACGGGUUCUACCGGCCGCCGCGCCCCCGCGUCUUCUCGUAGGACGAGAUGGUGACGCUCCUCUACUCCCUAGAGCGGGUCGUCCACCGGCGGGCCUUGCUGCUGUAGCUCGAGACGUGGUAGAGGACCUCCUUCAAAGGGCUACCUAAAGGUCUAAACAAGUAUGGUUUACGGGUCUUGUAAGCACCCGCUGUACAACGGAAGAAUCGUAGUAAGUCGAGCGGACCACAGUAUAAACUCGUUUAUAGCUAAUAUAUAUUAGACGGUUUCGACAAGUAACGAAGUAAAUGAAACUAUGACGGUAAAAAGGGUUGACCCUGAAGGCUCGCAUACCUUCUGCUUCCUCUACAGCGUUGGCGGAAAUGUGAACGAUCUUCGAACAGUGUGUAUGGUUAUAGGUCUCCACCUGGGUGGUCAAAUCACUAAAAACUAUAAGUACGAAACGUCCUCUCUAAGAUGAAACCUCUACGUUAGAAUGGUACAAAGCUCUCACCGUAGGGGAACAACUUUUCAUCCGAAGUCCUCGAUGGACUAAGACUAUUGUAUCGGUAUCGAAAAGGUCUACUACCGCGUACCUUCGCGAAGAUAUUCGUUGAGGUUGUAAAAGGAUACUAAUAUACGUUGUUUCAAUCUCUUCCACUAGUUUCUUAACACGCAUAUUUUCUUCCUCUACGAUCUCCGGCAGUACAACAAUAUCACCUACUGAACCACGUCAGACCACCAUGAAACUAACUUACGGUCUUUCACAACCGACGAGUACCUCGUCGUUUCCAAUCACGUAUGCAUUGUGUACCGUAAAAGGGGUUGUUUAGUACCCUCUUUAAAUUCGGACUAUUACCUCUCCCAGGCCUCGUGCGGGACUCGGUGAAAACCUAAUGGCUGAGCACGGGAGAGUGUCAACUUCGCCAGUUCCUGUCUGCCGGCAAACUUUAAGAGUCGGACCGUCUAAGAUAACGAAGACGAGAAGUCUAAAUCGUUCGGCUAAACCCUUCACAAGUUACCUAACAACCCUGGUGUUUUUGUAAAGAUCCUAUCAUACGGAUUAUUGAACCGUCCUGUUCGGUCCACUCAGUGUACAAACGAUAUAU
rnacentral:rRNA from 1 species